GGAGGUACUUAUUGGCAUUUUUGAGGAACUCCGCAGUGAAGCGUGCUUGGGCGAGAGUAGUACUAGGAUGGGUGACCUCCCGGGAAGUCCUCGUGUUGCACCCC
rnacentral:rRNA from 2 species